rnacentral:rRNA from 1 species
UGGGGUAUAUUGCACAAUGGGGGAAACCCUGAUGCAGCGACGCCGCGUGAACGAAGAAGGUAUUCGUAUCGUAAAGUUCUGUCCUAUGGGAAGAUAAUGACAGUACCAUAGAAGAAAGCUCCGGUUAAAUACGUGCCAGCAGCCGCGGUAAUACGUAUGGAGCGAGCGUUGUCCGGAAUUAUUGGGCGUAAAGGGUACGCAGGCGGUUUAAUAAGUCGAAUGUUAAAGAUCGGGGCUCAACCCCGCAAAGCAUUGGAAACUGAGAAACUUGAGUAGUGGAGAGGAAAGUGGAAUUCCUAGUGUAGUGGUGAAAUACGUAGAUAUUAGGAGGAGUACCAGUAGCGAAGGCGACUUUCUGGACACAAACUGACGCUGAGGUACGAAAGAGUGGGGAGCAAACAGG